UUCAACAAAAACUCAAUAAAAAAAGCCUAAACUACGAAGAAAAAACUUAGGCGAUGAAACCAGCACAUUGCAGAUCGCCCAUUAUCCAUAGGAAGUUAGAAACACAAGUUGCAUAUAAGGAGAUGAGGUAUGGCGAAUCACAACAGAAUUCAAUAUAAAUUAAUGAGUAUUGCAUGGAAUUGACUAUUAAUUCAGAGGCAUGUCCUCUAUGUUUCUUUAGUUGUAUUAUGGGUUCAGGGAUGGUGCAUUUCUCUAAGUUUGUUAUGAAGUCUAUGCAGAUACGUUUCCAUCAGUGUAAUGUUUUUCUUGCGUUGUCUGGCACCGCAGGAAGAUUUUCUUGGUUCCUGUCAUUUUUUUUGCCCUUUGCUCGUCUUCUCAGAGGUUUUUGGUUCUAGCUGGUAACGGCUCGAUCAUUUUUUCUUUUUCUUAAGAAUUGCUUAUCUUGUUAGGAGUUAGAGAGUGGCGGCGG
rnacentral:lncRNA from 1 species